AAAUCAUGCAUCGAGCAUUUUCUAGUUAAUUUCUUGAAAUGCUCCCAUGCUUCAUAUAAUGUUUCAUCUUCAAAUUUUCUGAACGAUGUAAUGUCAUUCCUUAGUUU
rfam:Gossypium raimondii Chr12_contig_565, whole genome shotgun sequence.